rnacentral:rRNA from 1 species
GUAGGGAAUCUUCCACAAUGGACGAAAGUCUGAUGGAGCAACGCCGCGUGAGUGAAGAAGGGUUUCGGCUCGUAAAACUCUGUUGUUAGAGAAGAACAGCCGUGAGAGCAACUGCUCACGGUAUGACGGUAUCUAACCAGAAAGUCACGGCUAACUACGUGCCAGCAGCCGCGGUAAUACGUAGGUGGCAAACGUUGUCCGGAUUUAUUGGGCGUAAAGGGAGCGCAGGCGGUUUAUUAAGUCUGAUGUGAAAGCCUUCGGCUUAACCGGAGAAGUGCAUCGGAAACUGAUAAACUUGAGUGCAGAAAAGGAUAGUGGAACUUCAUGUGUAGCGGUGAAAUGCGUAGAUAUAUGAAGGAACACCAGUGGCGAAGGCGGCUAUCUGGUCUGUAACUGACGCUGAGGCUCGAAAGCAUGGGUAGCAAACAGGAUUAGAUACCCUAGUAGUCC